CGGGCGACGCGCCGGUCUAAGUCCCUUGGAACGGGGCGUCAUAGAGGGUGAGAAUCCCGUAUGCGACCGGUGACCGAGCCCAGGUGAAACUCCUUCGACGAGUCGAGUUGUUUGGGAAUGCAGCUCAAAAUGGGUGGUAAAUUUCAUCUAAAGCUAAAUACCGGCCAGAGACCGAUAGCGCACAAGUAGAGUGAUCGAAAGAUGAAAAGCACUUUGGAAAGAGAGUCAAAAAGUACGUGAAAUUGUUGAAAGGGAAGCGCUUGCAACCAGACCUGCCCGUAGAUGAUCAACCGUCCUUUUGGACGGUGCACUCGUCUGCGAUCAGGCCAGCAUCGGUUCGGACGGCCGGAUAAAGGCCUUGGGAACGUAGCUCCUCUCGGGGAGUGUUAUAGCCCUCGGUGCAAUGCGGCCAGCCUGGAUCGAGGAUCGCGCUUCGGCUAGGAUGCUGGCGUAAUGGUUGUAAGCGGCCCGUCUUGAAACACGGACCAAGGAGUCUAACAUCUAUGCGAGUGUUUGGGUGUCAAACCCCUACGCGUAAUGAAAGUGAACGGAGGUGGGAACCCUUCGCGGGGCGCACCAUCGACCGAUCCAGAUGUCUUCGGAUGGAUUUGAGUACGAGCAUAACUGUUGGGACCCGAAAGAUGGUGAACUAUGCCUGAAUAGGGUGAAGCCAGAGGAAACUCUGGUGGAGGC
rnacentral:rRNA from 1 species